UUGUUGGUAAGGUAAAAGCUUACCAAGGCUUCGAUCAGUAGCUGGUCUGAGAGGACGACCAGCCACACUGGGACUGAGACACGGCCCAGACUCCUACGGGAGGCAGCAGUGGGGAAUUUUGGACAAUGGGGGCAACCCUGAUCCAGCCAUGCCGCGUGAGUGAAGAAGGCCUUCGGGUUGUAAAGCUCUUUCAGCCGGAACGAAACGGUUACGGAUAACACCCGUGACUACUGACGGUACCGGAAGAAGAAGCACCGGCUAACUACGUGCCAGCAGCCGCGGUAAUACGUAGGGUGCGAGCGUUAAUCGGAAUUACUGGGCGUAAAGCGUGCGCAGGUGGUUUUGUAAGUCAGAUGUGAAAGCCCCGGGCCCAACCUGGGAACUGCGUUUGAAACUACAAGACUAGAGUGUGGCAGAGGGGGGUGGAAUUCCGCGUGUAGCAGUGAAAUGCGUAGAGAUGUGGAGGAACACCGAUGGCGAAGGCAGCCCCCUGGGUCAACACUGACGCUCAGGCACGAAAGCAUGGGGAGCAAACAGGAUUAGAUACCCUGGUAGUCCAUGCCCUAAACGAUGUCAACUAGUUGUCGGGCCUUUACGGGCUUGGUAACGUAGCUAACGCGUGAAGUUGACCGCCUGGGGAGUACGAUCGCAAGAUUAAAACUCAAAUGAAUUGACGGGGACCCGCACAAGCGGUGGAUUAUGUGGAUUAAUUCGAUGCAACGCGAAAAACCUUACCUACCCUUGACAUGUAUCGAAGCCCGCAGAAAAGCGGGGGUGCCCGAAAGGGAACGAUAACACAGGUGCUGCAUGGCUGUCGUCAGCUCGUGUCGUGAGAUGUUGGGUUAAGUCCCGCAACGAGCGCAACCCUUGUCAUUAAUUGCCAUCAUUUAGUUGGGCACUUUAAUGAGACUGCCGG
rnacentral:rRNA from 1 species